GGUAAAAAAUGGAAAAUUUGGGAAAAAAUGGGAAAAAUUGGGUAAAAAAUUUGAAUUUUUGAGUGAAAAUUUUGGAAUUUUGGGGUGGAAAUUUGGGGAAAAAUUUGGAUUAUUUGGGGUAAAAUUUGGGAAUUCUAAAGAGAAAAAUUUUGGAUUUUUUGGGGUUAAAAUCUGGGAAUUUUUGGGGUAAAAUUUUGGGUUUUUUUCUGAAAAAUAAAGGGAAUUUUGAGGGAAAAAUUCUGAAUUUUUUGGGUUAAAAUUUUGGGAAUUUGAGGGUAAAAUUUGGAGAAUUUUUGGGUUAAAUUUUGGGAGUUUUUGGGGUUAAAAUUUGGGAUUUUUGGGGGGAAAAAAAUGGCAAUUUUGGGGGAAAAAUUCUGAAUUUUUUUGGGUUAAAAUUUGGGAAUUUGAGGGUAAAAUUUGGGGAAUUUUUGCAUUAAAAUUUGGGAUUUUUGGGGGUAAAAUUUGGGGAAUUUUUGCAUUAAAAUUUGGGAAUUUUGGGGUUAAAAUUUGGGAUUUUUGGGAAAAAAAAUGGGAAUUUUGGGUUGGAAUUUUGGGGUGGAAUUUUGGGAAUUUGAAGGUAAAAUUUGGGGAUUUUUGGGGUAAAAUUUUGGGAUUUUUGGUGGGAAAAAAUUGGAAUUUUGGGUUGGAAUAUUUGGAGGAAAUUCCAGAAUUUUUUGGGGUUAAAAUUUGGGGAUUUUUUCUCAAAAAUUUUGACAAUUUUGGGGAAAAAUUCUGAAUUUUUUGGGUUAAAAAUUGAGAAUUUUGGGAUUCCUGACUCCGCCCCCUUUUUGUUGCCCCUCCCCCCUUUCAGACGGGCGCCCCUCCCCCCUCUGGCGGGGGCAGCUGCGGAGGAUCCGCGAGAACCGAGAGCUGGCGGUGAGAAAAACCAGUACAAACCAGUACAAACCAGUACAGACCAGUAUAAACCAGUAUGGACCAGUAUGGACCAGUAAAGGCAGAAAAAACCCCGAAAAAAUCCCAUUUUUGGGUCAUUUUUUGCCCAUUUUUCACCAUUUUAAAGCCCCAAAUCCACUCCCAGUUCAUCCCAAUCCCAGUAUAAACCAGUACAAACCAGUACAAACCAGUACAAACCAGUAUAGACCAGUAUAGACCCAUCCCAGUAACCCCAGAGCCCAAACCAGUAACAAAAAUCCCCAUCCCAGUACAAACCAGUAUAAACCAGUACAAACCAGUAACCCCAAACCCCCUCCCAGUUCAUCCCAGUGCCCUCCCAGUACAAACCAGUAAGGAAAAACCCCAAACCAGUAUAAACCAGUAAGGGAAAUCCCAUUCCCAGUACAAACCAGUACAAACCAGUAACCCCAAACCCCCUCCCAGUACAAACCAGUACAAACCAGUAACUCCCAGUAUAAACCAGCGCCGCGCCGUCGCCCUGAGCCGCUCCCUGGACGCCGCCAAGCUCCCAGUACAAACCAGUACGGACCAGUAUGGACCAGUAUAAACCAGUAUGGAGCAGGUGAGU
rnacentral:lncRNA from 1 species